UGAGAGAAAGAGAGGAUUUGACAUCUCUGGUGUUUAGAGAGAUCCUACAAUGGAGAAAGGGGCGAAUUCACGGGCAUCCUCCGGACAUUCGUACGAUGUUUUCCUAAGUUUUCGAGGGCCAGACACUCGUCACAAUUUCACCGAUUGUCUUUAUCACGAUAUGACGGAGGCCGGGAUCCUCGUCUAUAGGGACACUGAAUCCCUCCCUGUGGGUGAAAAAAUUAGUGCACUUCUACCAGCGAUUGAGAACUCCAAGAUCUGCAUUCCCAUAUUCUCCACAACUUAUGCUUCAAGUCCCUGGUGCCUCCGGGAGCUCGCACACAUGGUCGACUGCACCUUGAAAUCGAAUGGGAACAAGAAGAUUCUACCCAUUUUCUUGGAUGUGGAACCUGAUGACGUCAAGCUCAGGCCGAACGAACUCAAACCAAACUUAUACAUCCAAGCACUUUUGGAGCACCAGAAGCAGGAGAAGUUCAGCACUGAAGUAGAGUCAUGGGAAAAGGCUCUCAUUGAGGUGGGCAAGAUAAGGGGAUGGAACUGGCAGGAGCAUGAAGGCCAAGGAGUUCUGAUACGAUCAGUUUUUCACACUGUUUUGGUUGAGCUCAAGGUCUUGUAUGAAAAAGUGACCAAAGAUCUAGUUGGAGUUGAAGAUCGUGUAGAAGCUAUAAUCCAAGAGUUGGAUCUGAAAUCUGAUAAAGUACGGUUUUUGGGAAUCCACGGAAUAGGAGACGUUGGUGAAUCAUCACGACGCAAUGGUGUGGUACAUUUGCAAAAGCAAUUGUUAUCCAAGCUCCUUGGUUCUCGUUCUGUCAGCCAAAUUUAUGGCAAAAAUGAUGCAAUCAACAUGAUGGAGAGAGGAGUACUCAGAAAUAAAAAAUUUCUCAUAGUUCUCGAUAACGUGGAUGAGAAAAAGCAACUAAGAAAUCUAGCAGAGAAAGGUGAUUGGUUUGGUUCCGGUAGUAGGAUUAUCAUAACUAUUAGGGACCAAAGUCUCCUAAAGAUUGAGGAAGAAGCAACAGAAUUUUUGACAUACGAAGUACGGGAGAUGAAAUUUGAUCAUGCUCUCAAGCUUUUCAGUAGGCAUGCCUUUAGAAGUGACUUUCCACCGAAUCAUCGUGUCUCCUGGUCAGAAACAAUUGUUCAUAUUUUGGGAAUGCUUCCUUUAGCUCUCGAGGUAACUGGUUCGUCCCUUAACGGUAAAUCACAAAAAAUAUGGGGAGACACAUUGAAGAAGCUACAAAUUUCUCCUCCCAAGGAAGUUCAAGAUACAUUGAUGAUAACUUAUGAAAUGUUAGAUACUGAACAAAGGCAUGUAUUUUUGGAUAUAGCUUGUUUUUUUGUUAACAUGGAUAAAACAUACCCACUCUACAUGUGGGAUGACUGUGAAUACUCCCCACAUAAUGCCAUUGAAGUCCUCUUUCUCAUGUCCUUUGUAAAAGUCAAAGACGACAAUACUUUUUGGAUGCACGAUCAAGUGCGGGACCUCGGAAGGGGAAUCGUCCGUCGAGAGGAUACCGAACAUCCCUACAAGCGUAGCAGAGUGUGGAAACACGAGGAAGCCAUAAGAAUCCUGAAGCGGAAAGAGGGGAGUAGUACAAUGAAAGCAUUGUCACUGGGACAUCAUGAAGACAAACUAACACGUGAUGAAUUUGACAAUUACCCAGACCUGAGGUUCUUUCAAGGUGAUGGGGUGUUCCUUGUUGGAGAUUUCAAUAAUCUUCUCCCCAGUUUAAGAUGGCUUUCCUGGCAAAAUUGCCCUUGCAAGUCUGAGGAGUUUGUGGCAAACUUUCCUUGGACUGAAUUACUCGUUCUUGACCUUUCAUGCAGCGAUAUUACAGAUGAAUGGGUUGGCUGGAGCCAAAUCAAAGCGGCAAGUAAACUGAAAGCACUAGAUCUCAGCAAGUGCAAAAACUUGACGAGAACGCCUGAUUUAUCUACGUUCAAGUCCUUGGAGAGAUUGAAUCUUGAAGGCUGUCACAACUUAAUUGAAAUUGACCCAUCGAUUGGUAAAUUACAGUGCCUAGCUGCUUUGAACUUGAAUGGAUGUCAGUCUCUUCAAGAGUUGCCUGAAGUAAUAGGAUGUCUAAAAGCUUUGACAGAGAUUGUCAUGCCCGAUACGCCAGAUAAAUUUAGACUUCCGGAGACGUUUGGUAAUUUGAAGUCAUUGUUGACCUUGGAUGUAUCACAUAGGCAGAUCAGCAAACUGCCAUACUCAAUUGGAGGACUGGUGGAACUUACACGGUUGAGUUUAUAUCAGUGUACAAAGAUAAAGGAACUUCCAGAAUCGGUUGGAAAACUACAAUCGCUAGUUGAGUUGGAUUUAUCAUGGACAAGUGUUUUCCACCUACCUGAUUCCAUCGGCGAUCUAAAGCAAUUGAAAGUACUUCGGAUGAGCCACAUAUCGGGGAUGACAAAAUUACCAAGUGUGAUCGGGAAGGUGGAGAAGCUUGAAGAGUUAGAUGCUAGAGGAUGUCGCAACUUGACUGGCGAAAUCCCUGAAGAAAUUGGUGGAUUAUCCUGUUUGAGGAUCCUAGACUUGUCAGACACACGUAUAUCCGGAUUACCCACCACUGUGAGUCGCCUCUCUAAUCUCCAAACGCUUAAUCUGGAACUAUGUCUUGAGCUUAAAAAGUUGCCGGAGCUUCCCCCAAGUUUGACUUGUUCGAGAGGCGCCACUAAUAGACAUGGCAUAUGCGCUGGAGAGUAUCACUGCUCUUCCCACUAGCAUCGGUGCCCCUAUCUGAGCUGAAAGCACUUAUAUUGUCCUGCAAAAAUGUGGAAUCACCUGAUUUUUCCAAUUUCAAAACCUUGUUAGUAUUGCCAUUCUAUAAUGGUUCGAUGUCUGAAUUCUUUGAUAUAUUUGAUGCGGAGUUGGAGGUCCUCCUGAUAAAGAGUAGUAUGUGGAAAAGCUCAGCACAUGACCUUGACCGAGAAUGACUUCGUCCUGGAAAUUUGAUUCGCCCAUGAAGCUCAAGCUCAGAAACGGUCACAGAGCAGUGCGAGUUUCACGGAGACGGGAGCCAUGGAGAAGGGAGAUAAGCAACAUCUUAGAAAUGUCGAAGGGGAAAAGAGACGUGAGGACUGAGGAGCAGUGCAAGCACGUGGAGCCAACCUAGGAGCAAUUAAUUGUCUUCUGCUGCGGAUUAGGCUAUGAAAAUAUUGAUGGCGGAAGAAGGAGGAGGCAACCGCUCAAAUAAUGCCAAAGCUUUGUCGAACUUUGAUCAGCUUUUGCACCUAGUUUCUGACAAUGAAGGUCUUUCAAUUUCAAUGUCUUUCAACUUCGGUAUUUGUCUCAAGUUUAAGAGUUCGGUUCACUAUGUGUCUUCUGAUUAUGAAUUUCUUGUUUUGUUUAGUGUUUCAAUUUGAGGGUCUGUA